rnacentral:rRNA from 1 species
AGACGUCUACAUUAGAUACCCGCGUAUCCCAGCCGUAAACUAUGCGCGUUAGGUGUAUCGGUGACCACGAGUCACCGAGGUGCCGAAGGGAAACCGUGAAACGUGCCGCCUGGGAAGUACGGUCGCAAGGCUGAAACUUAAAGGAAUUGGCGGGGAGCACCACAACGGGUGGAGCCUGCGGUUUAAUUGGACUCAACGCCGGGAAGCUCACCGGAUAAGACAGCGGAAUGAUUGCCGGGCUGAAGACUCUGCAUGACUAGCUG